UACGUAGGGUGCGAGCGUUAAUCGGAAUUACUGGGCGUAAAGCGUGCGCAGGCGGCGCGUUAAGACAGGUGUGAAAGCCCCGAGCUUAACUUGGGAAUUGCGCUUGUGACUGGCGAGCUGGAGUGUGGCAGAGGGAGGUGGAAUUCCACGUGUAGCAGUGAAAUGCGUAGAGAUGUGGGAGGAACACCGAUGGCGAAGGCAGCCUCCUGGGCCAGCACUGACGCUCGAUGCACGAAAGCGUGGGGAGCAAACAGG
rnacentral:rRNA from 1 species